rnacentral:miRNA from 1 species
AAAUUCUCUGCUGGAUGACCAAAAAAUAUGUAUGAAACUGGUGUCUAUAUUUGGGAUAUAGACACCAGUUUCAUACAUAUUUUUUGGUCAUCCAGCAGAGAAUU